CGGAGGGCGUGUCUUAUGUAAAUAUAGCAGCGCGGGGGCUGAUGGUUCGACUGCUGCAGCCUAAAUAACAAUGGGAUAUCCGGGGCUACGGGAAGCAGUGCGGGCGGUUGACGGAGGUUCAUGGUGCUGUGUGCGUGGAAGGCGUCGGGGGGCUCAAGAGUGAGGAAGAGAAAAAAAUACUGAUUUGUUUCUAAGAAAACAUAUUUAUUAAAGGGAAGAAUUCCACUAGAGUAAUAGGCAUUCUAAAGGAACUAAUUGUGGUGUUGAUAAGUAUUGGGUUCAUACCAGAUACUGGGAAGAUAAGCUUCUUGUUGUUGCAGUAUCAAAUACCGAGAAGUACUGACCAGAAUCCUCGGGACAACAAUCAACAAGACUCACAGGCCAGCUUAGUUGUCAUCUCUGACC